GACGAACGCUGGCUGCGUGCUUAACACAUGCAAGUCGAACGCUGAAGCCAGAAGCUUGCUUCUAGUGGAUGAGUGGCGAACGGGUGAGUAACACGUGAGUAACCUGCCCCUGAUUUCGGGAUAAGCCUGGGAAACCGGGUCUAAUACCGGAUACGACCAUCCCUCGCAUGAGGGUUGGUGGAAAGUUUUUCGAUCGGGGAUGGGCUCGCGGCCUAUCAGCUUGUUGGUGGGGUAAUGGCCUACCAAGGCGACGACGGGUAGCCGGCCUGAGAGGGCGACCGGCCACACUGGGACUGAGACACGGCCCAGACUCCUACGGGAGGCAGCAGUGGGGAAUAUUGCACAAUGGGGGAAACCCUGAUGCAGCGAUGCAGCGUGCGGGAUGACGGCCUUCGGGUUGUAAACCGCUUUCAGCAGGGAAGAAGCGAAAGUGACGGUACCUGCAGAAGAAGUACCGGCUAACUACGUGCCAGCCGCCGCGGUAA
rnacentral:rRNA from 1 species